UGACAUGUGCGCACAAAUGAAAGAAAAUAUUUUAACAUGCUUAGAAGUUAUUUCAAUUUAAAACCUUCUAAGUUAUGUCAAUUAUGAUUGGAUAAACUGCUCUUUACGAAAAUAUGAAAUGUUUAUGAAAAUGCAUGCCCACUGAGUACAUUAGUACUUAGCCCAAAAAUACUUUCAAAUGUUUUCAGGUUGGCUGGCUGGUGCUGACGGGACUGAGCUGAGGCUAGGGUUCAACUUCCUAUUAAGACUUCCGCUGUAGCACUCAAUAAUAUCUAGUCUUUUGUUUUCCCUAACUUAAGGCUUUCAUAUUAAAUUUCAAAUGAUAUCCCUGAUUAAGUUUAGACUCUAAACUCCUAGAUUUAUGCUAAUGAAUGUUGGUUGUCAGAAGCAUGAAACAAAGCUUGUGAUCCAAAGGGGACUAGCCCGACUUGUCUUAUUCGGGUUUUAACAAGGUUGUUCCUUGUUUAUUUCUAUGAAUUAGUUGUACCUCGAU
rnacentral:lncRNA from 1 species